rnacentral:rRNA from 1 species
UACAGAGGUCUCAAGCGUUGUUCGGAUUCAUUGGGCGUAAAGGGUGCGUAGGCGGCGCGGUAAGUCGGGUGUGAAAUCUCGGAGCUUAACUCCGAAAACUGCAUUCGAUACUGCCGUGCUUGAGGUACUGGAGAGGAGACUGGAAUUUACGGUGUAGCGGUGAAAUGCGUAGAUAUCGUAAGGAAGACCAGUGGCGAAGGCG